GGGCCCGUAGCUCAACGGGAGAGCACGUGGUUUGCAUCCACGGGGUUGCAGGUUCGAAUCCUGUCGGGUCCACCA
rnacentral:tRNA from 1 species